rnacentral:rRNA from 1 species
GAUACUCGCUAGGUGUCGGCCACGGUGCGACCGUUGUCGGUGCCGUAGGGAAGCCGUGAAGCCAGCCACCUGGGAAGUACGGCCGCAAGGCUGAAACUUAAAGGAAUUGGCGGGGGAGCACCACAACGGGUGGAGCUUGCGGUUUAAUUGGAUUCAACGCCGGAAAUCUUACCGGGACCGACAGCAAUAUGAAGGCCAGGUUGAAGACUUUGCCUGAUUAGCUGAGAGGUGGUGCAUGGCC